rnacentral:rRNA from 1 species
GACGAACGCUGGCGGCGUGCUUAACACAUGCAAGUCGAACGGAAAGGCCCUGCUUUUGUGGGGUGCUCGAGUGGCGAACGGGUGAGUAACACGUGAGUAACCUGCCCUUGACUUUGGGAUAACUUCAGGAAACUGGGGCUAAUACCGGAUAGGAGCUCCUGCUGCAUGGUGGGGGUUGGAAAGUUUCGGCGGUUGGGGAUGGACUCGCGGCUUAUCAGCUAGUUGGUGGGGUAGUGGCUUACCAAGGCUUUGACGGGUAGCCGGCCUGAGAGGGUGACCGGCCACAUUGGGACUGAGAUACGGCCCAGACUCCUACGGGAGGCAGCAGUGGGGAAUAUUGCACAAUGGGCGGAAGCCUGAUGCAGCAACGCCGCGGGCGGGAUGACGGCCUUCGGGUUGUAAACCGCUUUCGCCUGUGACGAAGCGUGAGUGACGGUAAUGGGUAAAGAAGCACCGGCUAACUACGUG